rnacentral:rRNA from 1 species
AGCGAGCUGGAACCACCCCUUCCCAUCCCGAACAGGACCGUGAAACAGCUCCGCGCCGAUGAUAGUGCGGAUUCCCGUGUGAAAGUAGGUCAUCGCCAGGC